UUUAUAUCUACAACUAUAUGUUAUCUUCUUAUUUAUUUUGAAAUUCUCAACAUAUAUACAAAAAUAUAAUGGUAUAUAAUAACAUUUAUUUCAUAUACUAUUUAAAAAAAUAUGUUAUUAGAAAACUAUGAAAUUUUGAUAAGGAAAAUUACCAAAAAUACCACUUUCAAAAUACCACUUUUCAUGUUUACAAUAACCACUUUUACCCUCAUUUUUAAUGAAGGGCAAAAGACAUUUAUAAUCCUUCGAUUAACUUUGAUUAAAAAAAAAAACUAUGGUUAACUAAUUUAAAAUUAAAACAUCAACUCAAAACCCUAAAUCAUCAACUCUAAACCCUAAACCCUGAAACAUCAACUCUAAACCCUAAACCCUGAAACAUCAACUCUAAACCUUAAACCUUCAAAUCUAAACCCUAAAACAUCAACUCUAAACCCUAAACGUAAACCCUAAACCCUAUAUUUUUCUGAAAUUCGAACCCUAUACCCUAAAAUCCUAAACCCUAAACCUUCAAAUCUAAACCC
rnacentral:lncRNA from 1 species